UGGGGAAUAUUGCACAAUGGACGGAAGUCUGAUGCAGCAACGCCGCGUGCGGGAUGACGGCCUUCGGGUUGUAAACCGCUUUUUCUCAUGACGAAGUUUUUUGACGGUAGUGGGGGAAGAAGCACCGGCUAACUACGUGCCAGCAGCCGCGGUGAUACGUAGGGUGCGAGCGUUGUCCGGAAUUAUUGGGCGUAAAGAGCUUGUAGGCGGUUUGUCGCGUCGAUAGUGCAAACUCAGUGCUUAACGCUGAGCCUGCUGUUGAUACGGGGAGACUAGAGGAAGGUAGGGGAGAAUGGAAUUCCCGGUGGAGCGGUGGAAUGCGCAGAUAUCGGGAGGAACACCGGUGGCGAAGGCGGUUCUCUGGGCCUUUCCUGACGCUGAGAAGCGAAAGCGUGGGGAGCGAACAGG
rnacentral:rRNA from 1 species